AACGGCCUCGUGGUAGCAAUACCGCGGGGUAGUGGCGAACGGGUGAGUAACACGUGGGUAAUCUUCCCCCGAGUGAGGAAUAAGCUUGCGAAAGCGGGUCUAAUACCGCAUAACGUCCUGGGGCUUAUGCCCUUGGACCAAAGCCGUAAGGCGCUUGGGGAUGAGCCUGCGUCCUAUUAGCUAGUUGGUAGGGUAAUGGCCUACCAAGGCGAUGAUGGGUAGCCGGCCUGAGAGGGUGAUCGGCCACACUGGAACUGAGACACGGUCCAGACUCCUACGGGAGGCAGCAGUGAGGAAUUUUGCGCAAUGGGCGAAAGCCUGACGCAGCGACGCCGCGUGGAGGAUGACGGCCUUCGGGUUGUAAACUCCUGUCAGAAGUGAAGAAUGCCCGCAAGGGCUUGACGGUAACUUCAGAGGAAGCCCCGGCUAACUACGUGCCAGCAGCCGCGGUAAUACGUAGGGGGCGAGCGUUGCUCGGAAUUACUGGGCGUAAAGGGAGUGCAGGCGGCCUGUUAAGUCAAAGAUGAAAUCCCGAGGCUUAACUUCGGAAUGGUCUUUGAUACUGGCGGGCUUGAGGCUGGUUGAGGCGAGCGGAAUUCCCGGUGGAGCGGUGAAAUGCGUAGAUAUCGGGAG
rnacentral:rRNA from 1 species